UACGUAGGGACCAAGCGUUGUUCGGAUUUACUGGGCGUAAAGGGCGCGUAGGCGGCUUAACAAGUCACUUGUGAAAUCUCCGGGCUUAACUCGGAACGGCCAAGUGAAACUGUCAAGCUAGAGUGCAGAAGGGGCAAUCGGAAUUCUUGGUGUAGCGGUGAAAUGCGUAGAUAUCAAGAGGAACACCCGUGGCGAAGGCGGCUCUCUGGGACGGUACUGACGCUGAGACGCGAAAGCGUGGGGAGCGAACAGG
rnacentral:rRNA from 1 species